GGUAGUGUAGCGUAGUGGUAAGGAGCAGGGCUCAUAACCGGAAGGUUGCAGGUUCAAUUACCUGCAGGGGCACUACUG